rnacentral:piRNA from 1 species
UAUAUUCUUUUUGACUGUGGACCCU